rnacentral:rRNA from 1 species
UACGAGGGGGGCGAGCGUUGUUCGGAAUUAUUGGGCGUAAAGGGUGCGUAGGCGGUUUGGUAAGUCUUGUGUGAAAUCUACAGGCUCAACUUGUAGUCUGCACGAGAAACUGCUGGGCUUGAGUGUGGGAGAGGUGAGUGGAAUUCCUGGUGUAGCGGUGAAAUGCGUAGAUAUCAGGAGGAACACCUGUGGCGAAAGCGGCUCACUGGACCAUAACUGACGCUGAUGCACGAAAGCUAGGGGAGCAAACAGG